rnacentral:rRNA from 1 species
GAUGAACGCUGGCGGCGCGCCUAACACAUGCAAGUCGAACGAUUAAAGCACCUUCGGGUGUGUAUAAAGUGGCGAACGGCUGAGUAACACGUGGGCAACCUGCCCCUUUCAUUGGGAUAGCCACGGGAAACCGUGGAUAAUACCGAAUACUUCGAGACUUCCGCAUGGAAGACCCGAGAAAGCUCCGGCGGAGAGGGAUGGGCCCGCGGCCUGUUAGCUUGUUGGUGGGGUAACGGCCUACCAAGGCAAUGAUGGGUAGCUGGGUUGAGAGACCGACCAGCCAGAUUGGGACUGAGACACGGCCCAGACUCCUACGGGAGGCAGCAGUGGGGAAUCUUGCACAAUGGGCGAAAGCCUGAUGCAGCGACGCCGCGUGCGGGAUGAAGGCCUUCGGGUUGUAAACCGCUUUCAGCAGGGACGAGGCGAAAGUGACGGUACCUGCAGAAGAAGCCCCGGCUAACUACGUG